rnacentral:rRNA from 1 species
GGAUCCCAUCAGAACUUCGAAGUUAAGCGUGCUUGGGCGAGAAUAGUACUAGGAUGGGUGACCUCCUGGGAAGUCCUCGUGUUGUAUUCCCC